ensembl:lncRNA
AUGUUCCCACGUGGAGGAGGUCUCCUAGGUGUUACAAACGCGGCUAGGAAUGGCCCGCAGCCCCGCUCGCCGCGGCUCAGACAAUGCCCAUCCAUGAAAGAGACCUGGUCAUGCUCCGUGCCACCGGCUUGGCAAGGUUUAUUCCCGAUUCACCCCCGUGUACGGAGAGGAGAGCGCAGCCCAAGUACCUUCCCGGCAGUUCCUAAUUCCCUGCGGCCCGCCCACGAGGCACAGGGUGCGAUGGCCGGCCUCCUUCCCCUGCGGCUCGGCGCUGCCAGCAACUCAUGCCCGGAGGCUGGCCGGGCGUUCCGAACCCCCCUCGGGAGCUGUCGUGUUCGGCAUGACUCCGACUCCCGCCCCGCUAAAGGAGAGCCAAGAACCUGAGGGGAGGUGGUGAUGAUUCAUGGUGAAACCAGAAGUACUGGCCUGGAGAGGAGCAAUGUUGGGAUGGAGGAAGACCACUAAACCUCUACCUUUGGAAUCCUGAUUUUAGAUUGCAUGUUGACAGUGACUGAAGUGGAAAGACAUUAAUGAUGCACUGAUGGCAUAAAAAUGGAAGAUGUUAUUUAACAUCACACUGCAAUAAUUGGGUGACCUUAAAGGUGAAUGCAGUGGGAGAGGAAAAGAUUGCAGUAACUCUGAGCCACACAGCUCAGGAACUGAUAGCAGGAAUUUCUGUCAUGAGGAAAAAUAUCAUUGUCUGUAAAUGAGAAGGGAAAUCAGGUCAUAGGAUAAAAAUGAAUUUUCCUUCAUCUAGUCUGACCUUCAAAGUGUGUGGAAGGGAGAGGGAUGAGGGAGAAAGGUGGUGUGGUGCUGAUGGCACUCAGGAUCUCAAACUGGCUAAGAGCCUGGCCCCAGCCUGGAAUGGAAGCUUGUCCAUUCCAGGACCUGCAGGCUCAUUUGAAAGUGAUGUCUGACAGUGUGUGACUGCAAAGGGGCGCAGCCAAAGGCCUUAGCAUUCCUUCCUGCACCCAGCAUGCAGGCCUGCAGACAGCAGCAGGGACAUCUCUCCCUGGCACUGACACUCACACAGCCUGGUGCUGCCCCAGAGCUGAGUCCUCUAAGCUCAGGGAAAAAGAAUAUGGGAUUUCUUCCCAUUCUUGUGCUAUCCACUUGUUCCCUUUCCUCACCCUCCACACCUUCUUGUUGAAACUAACACCUCUGCUCCCGAGAGAACAGCAGCCUGGCACUCCAGCGGAUGAAGCUUUGACUCUUUCCCCACCCUCCUUUUUUUUUCCCCUCUUGACAGUCUGCUUUGACCUGAGUGACAUCCUCUCUUUGCUUUCAGUCCCUGAUUUUCUGCACUUGGGGACAGACUUUGAGCAGGCAGUAAGUGUUGAGGGCGUGCAGACAGCACGGGGGGGCUGCUGUGCCCCAGAGCCUGCCAUUCAGGCAGAUGGUGGAGGGGGCUGAUGUGAAUAGCUCCUGUCAGUCUCACAGAGAGAACUUUACAAUUGUGCUACGUGUUGGACUGCAUGUGACUAAUGCCAUUCUUCUGCAGGCUGCAGGCAGGACACAGCUGUUUCUUUAAGGAGAAUUUUGUUUUUCUGGGCAGAAAAAGAAGCACCCAUGACAAUAUUGUAACCAUGUAUCCAAUAUUAUGCUCCAUAAUUAGGUGUGAUCAAAGCCCAUCCUGCCUUUCUCUGUCUCGCUUUCUGGUAAAUAAGAUAAUGCUUUUUUAAAAAGCGUGGCCUUGGUUUGGUCCUUCUGAAGGUUUAAAUUCUGUCCCCCCACAUGGCAGGUAUGCACUGAAAAAAAGCAACAGGGCCAAAUAUAGGUUUCUUUACAUAAUUCUGGAAUAAAUAAGUAUUUCAAGAGCA